GUUUUAAUAAUUUAAAAAAAAAUAUUGGUUUUGUAAACCAAAAAUAAGUUAUCCUUUUAAAACU
rnacentral:tRNA from 1 species